AGAGUUUGAUCCUGGCUCAGGAUGAACGCUAGCUACAGGCUUAACACAUGCAAGUCGAGGGGCAGCAUGUUGGUUGCUUGCAACCAAUGAUGGCGACCGGCGCACGGGUGAGUAACGCGUAUCCAACCUACCCUUGUCCAUCGGAUAACCCGUCGAAAGGCGGCCUAACACGAUAUGCGGUUCUCAGCAGGCAUCUAACGAGAACGAAAUGUGAAGGAGAAGGAUGGGGAUGCGUCUGAUUAGCUUGUUGGGCGGGUAACGGCCACCAAGGCGACGAUCAGUAGGGGUUCUGAGAGGAAGGUCCCCCANAUUGGAACUGAGACACGGUCCAAACUCCGUACGGGAGCCA
rnacentral:rRNA from 1 species